CGGGAUCGUGCGCCAAGGCGCACAUCUAAAUCUAGUCUAAAGGUGUAUAUGAUGCCCCCCAUAGGGGGUCUCACAAGCGUUUGGAUUUUCGGCCGUCCGAUUAAGGUGACGUAGCGCGAUCUCGGCCGGCCGUUUCGUCCAGGGCGUGAGGCCCUCACACGGAUCCGCGUUUUAUCCAUGGGUCCUAUGAAGCCCGCCCCGGCCCGGUUUCUCGCAGAUAGGGGAGACAGCACGCAACCCUCGUCCUCCUCUCCCCCUCGCGCACCUGCCGCCUCUCCCCUUCUCCACGACUCCACCCAUCGCGUCGCCCCUUCUCCUCCCGUCGCGCCGCUCCUUCCCUCACCUGCGCCGCCCCUUCCCUCGCCUGCGCAUGGCAGCGCCGCCGUCCACCACCGCGGCACGAACAUGCGGGAGCAACGGCGUCGUCCGCAGCGCCGCCGUCCGCCGCCGCGGCACGAGCAUGCGGGAGCAGCGGCGUUGUCCGCCGCCUCCUCGCUGGGCCACCGAUACCGUGCCGCUUCUGGGCUCUGCCUCACCUCUGCGUGCUGCCGGGGCACAUGAGUGGAAGGUCGCCAGGAGGAGCGGAAGGCCGCCACAGCUUCAUGCGACGUCGAUUCAAGGUGAGAGGCCGCUAGCCCACACCCUUCUCCUCCUUUUUUCCGUACCUUCCCGCACUUGGCCGUCUCGCGGGGAGUGAGAGAGAAGAGUGUAGGGAGGAGGAUCAAGCGCAAAUGUGGAGCGGCAGCAGUAUGAACAUGUGGCCUAGAACCUCCAUCCCUAGCCCGGCUCAGCCUCCUCCGGCUCUAUCUCUCCUCCUCUACGCCCCUCUCAUUCUCUUCAUUUCCAUCCUCCCUUCUUACCUUCACUUUCCAUUGGUUUUCAUUUUUCUCUGUGCAGAUGUUUUUGUAUAUAUGCAUGUAAGGUGUUUGAGGAAAAUCCAAGCAUGAUAUAGGAAAAUACAAGCAAGCUGUAGUUACAAGAAAAUCCAAGCAAGCUCUAUACAACGCAUUCUGCACUUUGUGAAUGUGCCAGGCUGUGUCUUUGCUGACUCGUGAUCUCCGCUGCCACUAUGGCCGGGUCUUGCCGCCACUGCCAGGUCGCCAGGUUGUGAUGUUACGAUGCUGCUCUACACGAUCGUUGUGUCCUUCAAGUGUGUCCAGUCGCCGUCAUGUUGCCGCUAGCCAGAGGCCCUUUCCCAUUUGUUUAGUUCCUGGCUGGCCAUUUCAUGAUUUAGGAAAUCGUUUGUAUGUCCAUUACUUGGCUCUAUCACUAGCACCUUUUGAUUUGUUGGUCUUAUUUUAGGUUAGCGCUGCAGUGCACAAUACUACCACUAUUCAUUUAAAUUGAUUUAGUCCAAGGUCAAGUGGUGGGAGUCCAUUCAUGCAACAACUACCAUAACCUAUCAGGCUGCAACGGAAACAAGGAUACAAUUUCAGUUUUUUCAACUCGAGUUUCAGGUUGUAUCUGCAGCCGGUGUCACUAACUGAGGUAAUUUCCCUCGCAGCAAAAAUUCAGUUCCUUUAUUCGAUGAAAUGCGACCUAGGCUAGAGAGACAAGUUCAAUGCCCACUGGCUUUUUGAUAAAACACAGGUUACAAUAAGUUUGAACCAAUUAGCGAGCUUUGUCUAUCACUGAUGGAUGCCGCGUUUUAUACCAUGUCCUUGGCUUAAGCACCUUAUGUAGAUGUGUUGCCAUAAUAUGCUUUCCUAUUUCUCUAAUUGUAUAUAAGCGUUUGCCACUCUGUUCAUGAUUUUGUGUAUUCUAUCUAAUAUCGCACUAUUGAUUUUGUUAUUUAAACUCUAAGAAAUAAAUUAUCAUUUCUCACCUUAUUUUUUA